AUCCUAUCAAACAGCAUCACAUGCUACAGAGAAACCUGUUCAUGAAAAGAAGAGUCAGUCAACGUGGCAAAUCUCACUGUUGUCUUAUUUUAAGAAAUUGCCACAGCCGCCCCAGCCUUCAGCGACCAUUGCCCCGACCAGUCAGCAGCCAUCAACAUUGAGGCGAGACCCUCCACCAGCAAAAAGACUGUAACUCGCUAAAAGCUCAGAUGACGGUUAGCAUUUUUUAGCAAUAACAUAUUUUUUAACUAAGGUAUGUACAUUGGUUUUUUUAGACACAAUGCUAUUGCAAACUUAACAGA